rnacentral:rRNA from 1 species
UAAACCAGGAUUAGAUACCCUAUUAUACUUUAAUUUCUUUGGUAGUAUUACUAUUUUUAAUAAACCAAUGUAGUUUGGCGGCAUUCAAUCACUUUAGAGGAACCUGUCUAUUAAUCGACUCUCCACGAUAUCUUUCACUUUUAUUUAUAUUUUAUAUACCACCAUCUUUUAGGAUUAAUAUAAAUAUUCUUUCCUUAAUAGAAACUUCUCAUAAGUUAGGUAAAGGUGUAGACUAUAUAAAAGAUAAGAUGGGUUACAUUAAGAAAUACUGAAGGAUAAUCAUUCAAAUAUUUUUGGAAAAAGGAUUUAUUAGUAAUAUUAAAAGAUUAAUUAUAAAUGAAAUUGACAAAUAUGUGCACAUAUCGCCCGUCACUCUCACAUAUAAACCAGGAUUAGAUACCCUAUUAUACAUAUCGCCCGU